rnacentral:lncRNA from 1 species
AUGGGUCAUGUGCUUUAUCAGAAGAGAGCAAUAGAAUUAUCGUGUCUUAAGAGAUAAUCAAGGAUUUAAUUUUAAGAGCUAAUUCUUAUAGAAACUUUAAGCAAAACAUAUUAGAUUUAGGAAUUAGAGUGGAUGAGAUAUAGAUUCAUAGAAGAAAAUUAUAGUGAGUAAAAUAAUGGGUACUAAGAAUAAGGCAGACGAAAUGAUCAUAAAAAAUUAAUUGAGGAUCAUUAUGUGAAGAGGUUGUGAAAAAAAAAAAAAAAAAAAA